AUAAAGGCUGUGACGAGAAAGGUGACGGUGCGAAUACUUCGCAGAGAGCGGACGUUUGGUGAAAGUCCGCAGGGAUAACGCCGUCAGGAUCAUCUCUGAGCUGAUCCGCCUAAGCAGAUGUGUUAAGCGGAUACGGUCUCUCACCGUUAGAAAGAGAUAUGAGUGGCAGGCUUAUGGUCUGCAAUCAGAGUGGUAACACGGAGAUAUUAUGUCUUCGCCUCUAGU
rnacentral:ncRNA from 1 species